ACUGCUCAGUAACACGUAGUCAACCUAACCUAUGGAUGGGAAUAACCUCGGGAAACUGAGAAUAAUGCCCAAUAGAACACUAUACCUGGAAUGGUUUGUGUUCCAAAUGAUUUAUCGCCGUAGGAUGGGACUGCGGCCUAUCAGUUUGUUGGUGAGGUAAUGGCCCACCAAGACUAUUACAGGUACGGGCUCUGAGAGGAGUAGCCCGGAGAUGGGUACUGAGACACGGACCCAGGCCCUAUGGGGCGCAGCAGGCGAGAAAACUUUGCAAUGUGCGAAAGCACGACAAGGUUAAUCCGAGUGAUUUGUGCUAAACGAAUCUUUUGUUAGUCCUAGAAACACUAACGAAUAAGGGGUGGGCAAGUUCUGGUGUCAGCCGCCGCGGUAAAACCAGCACCUCAAGUGGUCAGGAUGAUUAUUGGGCCUAAAGCAUCCGUAGCCGGCUCUGUAAGUUUUCGGUUAAAUCUGUGCGCUCAACGUACAGGCUGCCGGGAAUACUGCAGAGCUAGGGAGUGGGAGAGGUAGACGGUACUCGGUAGGAAGGGGUAAAAUCCUUUGAUCUAUUGAUGACCACCAGUGGCGAAGGCUGCUAACCAGAACGCGCUCGACGGUGAGGGACGAAAGCUGGGGGAGCGAACCGGAUUAGAUACCCGGGUAGUCCCAGCUGUAAACGAUGCGGGCUAGCUGUUGGGAUGGCUACGAGCCAUUUCAGUGGCGCAGGGAAACCGUUAAGCCCGCCGCCUGGGAAGUACGAUCGCAAGAUUGAAACUUAAAGGAAUUGGCGGGGGAGCACCACAAGGCGUGAAGCUUGCGGUUCAAUUGGAUUCAACGCCGGG
rnacentral:rRNA from 1 species